UCCGUCUUUCUAAUUUUCUCAAGCCCUAUUCCCUCCCUCCCUCCCUACGCCUUCAUCUCUGCAUCGGAUUUUCUCGCAAGCCCUUUCUCUGCAUCAGAUUUUCUCGCAUGUCCUAGCUGUUCUCUCCCUUCCUUGCACCACAUUCUUGAAACCCUAGUUGUUCCCUCCCUUCCCCGCAAGCCCUAGCUCUUAUUGUUCGUGGAACUCUUUGGUUUGGGUUCGGUUUGGUCUUCCGUUGCAUAGGAACGAAAACCUGGUGCGUUUGUGGGUUGAGCGAGGCCGACCGUCAAGGUAUUGUUCGUCGAAGGUCCGAGUGCCCCCAAUCGAGGGGCUCUGGCGUGUGUUCGCUGCCGCGCUGACCAUUAAGCUUGGAUCCUCUCGGCACAGAGAUAGUGUUGGACUGAGAACAGGUCCAAGUUGAAAAUUUUGUAAAGAAACUUGGAUAGGUUCCAGAUGAAGAGAAUGAAAAGUAAGAAGAAGGAGACAAAACAUCAUACACAACAAAGUGCCUCUCAUACAUGGGGUCAUAUAGUUAAUCAUCCACCGGUAACUCAAAGUGCUGCUCCUCAAGUUCAAUCCUCUCCCUCUCUAUCUGCCCCUCAAAGAAGAACAUACAAACUAAAGCUACCUUUGACAAGCUAAAGCACAUGCUCUCCUACUCCUAUUUAGUCCCUAGAUGCAUUUGUUUUUCAUUCAACAUGUACUCCUACACCUAUUGUAAGUUAAUGUAAGUGUUCUGUUUCCUUCAAUAACUAACUUAUUGUUCCCUUUUCAUCACUAUGUAUGUUUCCUCAUCUUUUGUUUGUUUAUGUUCUUCCAA
rnacentral:sRNA from 1 species